rnacentral:rRNA from 1 species
CGACGAGUUCUCGUUGAUGAUCGGUGCUUGCACCGAGAUUCAACAUGGAACGAGUGGCGGACGGGUGAGUAACACGUGGGUAACCUGCCCUUAAGUGGGGGAUAACAUUUGGAAACAGAUGCUAAUACCGCAUAGAUCCAAGAACCGCAUGGUUCUUGGCUGAAAGAUGGCGUAAGCUAUCGCUUUUGGAUGGACCCGCGGCGUAUUAGCUAGUUGGUGAGGUAAUGGCUCACCAAGGCGAUGAUACGUAGCCGAACUGAGAGGUUGAUCGGCCACAUUGGGACUGAGACACGGCCCAAACUCCUACGGGAGGCAGCAGUAGGGAAUCUUCCACAAUGGACGCAAGUCUGAUGGAGCAACGCCGCGUGAGUGAAGAAGGCUUUCGGGUCGUAAAACUCUGUUGUUGGAGAAGAAUGGUCGGCAGAGUAACUGUUGUCGGCGUGACGGUAUCCAACCAGAAAGCCACGGCUAACUACGUGCCAGCAGCCGCGGUAAUACGUAGGUGGCAAGCGUUAUCCGGAUUUAUUGGGCGUAAAGCGAGCGCAGGCGGUUUUUUAAGUCUGAUGUGAAAGCCCUCGGCUUAACCGAGGAAGCGCAUCGGAAACUGGGAAACUUGAGUGCAGAAGAGGACAGUGGAACUCCAUGUGUAGCGGUGAAAUGCGUAGAUAUAUGGAAGAACACCAGUGGCGAAGGCGGCUGUCUGGUCUGUAACUGACGCUGAGGCUCGAAAGCAUGGGUAGCGAACAGGAUUAGAUACCCUGGUAGUCCAUGCCGUAAACGAUGAAUGCUAGG